GGCCCCAUCGUCUAGCCCGGCCUAGGACGUUAGGUUCUCAGCCUAAAGACUGGGGUUCAAAUCCCCAUGGGGCUACCA
rnacentral:tRNA from 1 species